CUUCGGCCUGGAUCCUGGCUUGGGGGGUAAAAAUAAAGUGUGUCCAUCUCCAGCCAAUCCCAGGGAAGACAGGAGGGCACUCCUCCAAUGGGAGUCUGGAGCCGUCGGUAGCGGUGGCGGCCUGCGACCCCGCUAGCGCUCCAGCAAGCGGGAGGGACGCGUCCAGUGCGUUCGCGAGAUCCAGCUGCCGGUCCCUGGAAUCUACUCGCGCGAGGCAGCGGCUGCACCGACGGCCCGAGGUUCCCGGUCAGCGGGUUGCGGAGUAUCGUGCGGGUAGCAAGGGGAGGGCGAGUGCUCCUGCGGCCCCCAGACGGCAACCAGAACAUGCAUCAUUGUUAGAACCAUCACCCUGCAGCUAGCUUGGACACCAUUAAAAGGGCUCAUCAGCUGCAAAUGGAUAGAAGUAUCUGAUAUUCGCGAAGACAGAGUUUCAGGGCUUCUACCUGGAGCUACACUCUCCAAAAGCCCCUGCUUGGCCUCCUUGCACCCAACCCUACCCCAUCCAGUCACAACUUGGGUCGUGUGGUGUUUCUUGGCAACUGGAACACAGACUUCUCCAGCAGCUCCGCAGGCCCCUUGUCCUCAGUGAGCAGAAGACUACAGAAGCUGGCUACUGAAGAGGCUGUCCAAGUCUUAGAGCUCCUCUUCGGCCCUGCUUAGCACAUUUACUACAGAGCAGUAACUGAGUGCUGGAUGUUACUCAUUCGUGUUCACCACCUGCAGGGACUGCAGAGGGAUUUGUCAGACCCCAUUUCACUAAGGGCCACCCUCUAAGGAUCUCCACAGGAGGCUGCCCAUAGAGAGAAGUGGCCUGUCUAGGGUCUCCACUGCCUUAAGGCCUACGUGGACACUUCCAGGCCUAAGGGGAUUAAUAUUUCUUCACCUACCUGUCAUCCACAUAUCAAUUGGAAAAUUCUCCCUCCUGAUGUUUUUUGUUCCUUUGUUUGUUUUUUAGUAGGAAGAGUUUUAACUACUGCUUCAAUUCCUUUAGUAGUUAGAGGACUAGUCAGCAUUUCUUUUUCUUCUUGAGUCAGUUUUGGUAAGUUAUAGUUUUCUAGGAAUUGGUGCAUUUUGUCCGCCUUCUCAAGUUUAUUGGCAUAGUUUCCUUAUUUUUUUAUUCUCUGCUGUAUACAAUCUGUAGUUAUGUCUCCUUUUUCAUUGCUGAUAUUGGUUAUUUGUGCCUUCUCACUUUUUUUCUUGAUCAAUCUCACCAGAGGUUUGUCUAUUUUACUAGUCUUUUCAAAGAACCAACUUUUGGCUUUGUUGCUCCUCUCUAUUUUGUCUUUGUUUUCUAUUUCUUUAAUUUCUGCUCUUAUCUUUUUUGAUCUCCUUCCUUCCACAUUUUUUGGAUUUAUUUUGUUGUUAUUUUUCUAAUUUCUUAAAUUGGACACCAGCCUUAUUAAUUUUCAGUCUUUCUUGUUUUCUACUUUGCACAUUUAAGGACGUAACUUUCCCUCUAACUACUGCUUUUCUACAAGUUCAGCCAUGUCAUAUUUCAUUACUGUUCAGUUCCAAGUAUUUCAGCAUUUCCAUCAUGGUUACUUCUUUGACCUGCAAGUUAUAUAGAAGUGUGUUUCUAAAUGUUUAGAGAUUUUAAAGUUUAUCUUUAUGUUAUUGAACUCUAUCUUUAAUUGCAUUAUGGUCAGAGUAUGUGAUCUGUGUGAUAAAAAUUCUGAAAUUUAUUGAGACUUGUUUUAUGGCUUAAUAGGUGAUCAGUAUUUUUUAAUGUUUCCUAUGUGAUUUAUAAGAAUGUAUGUUCUCUAACUGUUGAAUACAGAGUUCCACAUAAGUCUGUUAUCAAAUUUGUUAAUCGUAUUGUUCACAUUUUCUAUAUCUAAACUGAUUUUUUGGUUGUAAUAUACCAAUAAUUAUAAGGUAUGUUAAUAUGCAGUUAUGAUGGUGGAUUUGUCUAUUUCUCCUUGUAGUUCUUUUUUUUUCUUUUACUUAUUUUGAGGGUAUUUUAUUAGGAAUAUUCAAAAUGAGAAUUGUUAUAUAUUCCUGGUAAACAUGUAAUGACCCUCUCUAUUUCUGAUAAUGCAUUUUUUCCUUGAAGUCUAUUUUAUCUUACAUGAAUAUAGCAACACAAACUUUUCUUCUUCUUAGGAUUUGUGUGGUAUAUAAUUUUCCAUCCUUUUACUUUUCAACGUUUUCAUGCCUUUACGCUUUAAUCAUAUCUCUUGGAAAUGGCAUAUAGUUGGACCUUUUAAAACAUCUAAUAUAAUAAUCUCUGUCUUUUAAUGGUCAAGUUUAGUCUGUUUACACUUAUUGUGAUAUAUUUGGACUUGUUUCUACCAUCAUACUUUUUUUUUUUUUUUUUUUUUUUUUGC